GGGAUAUGAGGAGUGGUCGAGUCUCGCAGAAAAUAUGCGAGUUGGGUGUUCGCCCCAAGCCUGGUUACGACAAUUGGGCACUCUCCUUUAAUUAUUCUGAUCCC
rfam:Cicer arietinum chromosome Ca1, whole genome shotgun sequence.